UAAUUCUGAUUUUUUUUUUCUUCUGAGUGCUAGCUUCGUUUCUCAUAAGCAAGCUAUAUAAUAUCAUGUUAACUUCUCCAGUGUCUGAAAUCCCAUGACAAGCAAGGAAGCACUCUGCAGGCAUGAUCAGGAGAGGAGGAGAGGGCAGGAGAAUGAGUCACUGCAGGAUAAUGUCACUGAGGAAGGUGGAGGCUCUCUGGAAGACUAGGCACGCUGAAGAGACUAUAUUAGCUGGCCCAUGAUUUGAGGAGAGAGGAACAAGCAAAACGGAGCAAGAGGAAAGACUGCCCUAAGCCAGAAGCAGCAGCAAGAAGAGCAGAAAAGUAUGAGGCAGGAGUGGAAUGGCAUAGAGAUAAGCCCACUCAUGGUAAACUGUCAG
rnacentral:lncRNA from 1 species